CCUGCAUAGGGCCUCAAUGGCAUCUCUGUCCAGGAAGUCAUGCUCUCGCUUGACAAGAGCAAUGUCAAUUGGAAAGAGGAGAUCUUCAUAGAGCUGUGCAUACUGCGGGAAGCCAGCAGCUCGCAGCCAGUCACAAGCUUCCUUGGCCUCGAUUUCAGCCUUCUCCUUUUCUGAGAUAACUGGCAUAGCCCCAGCCUUUGGUUUAGCUCCAGAAGUGGCUGCUGAACAAGAUGAUGUUUGAUCAGGA
rnacentral:lncRNA from 1 species